GUGCGUGCGUGCGUGCGUGCGUGCGUGCGUGCGUAACUCACUGCGUGCGUGCGUGCGUGCGUGCGUGUUUCGAAACACUCCAUCAAUCUUUUUUUUUUAAAUGCUGUUGCGGUUUUAAGUUGUUGAAUGCUUCACAAAAAAGAAUCCCCCACAAUGAAAAAGCUCUCUCCCUGGUGAUACUCUGAUGCUGUGGUUACCAUGGAAACUAUACAUACAGCUGGGCAUGAUGUUUUAGAUCAGAUCACUCGGAGGACGUCACAGGUAGCUUUGAGUUUGAUAUUUUUGGAUCAGAAUGUUUAAAAAUCAGUGCGAGAACGAGAAACGACAAAGUCCAGAAAUAUGUUUGAACAAGAAAGAAGACAAAGUGAAGAAUAUCGUUUUCCUGUGCUGAGAAGUUUUGUGUAUUAAAGUAUGUAAAUGGAGUUUUUGACAUAUUUUUAAACUGUUACUGGGGAAACACUAAAGGCCUUUUUUAUAUUGUUCAUGUUUUAUUUGUUAUUGAUUAGUGUCUGAGAUUCAUUCAGUUCAUUUCUUCUUGUGUGUUUUUUAAUCGUGUAGUUGUGUAUUUUCAGGGGUGAAGCUGUCGUCUCCUCUCAGUUUUUAUCUCCUUAUUUAAAAAAAAAAAAGAAAAGAUGUGACGAUACGAGGUUUCCACCUGACGCUGCCUGUAGUUCUCUCUCCAUGCGUGCCUGUCGAUACGAGGUGUCGACUGUCUCUGGCUUUGUACAAAAUGCAUUAAAUUAUUUGUCAAUGACUGAGCGAAUAAAGUUUUGAGAUUUUAAUAAAUAAAUGUACCAUCA